UCUCCUGGAAACGGGUGGUAAUGCCGGAUGCUCCGCCCCCUCGCAUGGGGGGUCGGGAAGGCUUUUGCGGAAUGGGAUGGGGUCGCGUCCUAUCAGCUUGUUGGCGGGGCGACGGCCCACCAAGGCUUCGACGGGUAGCCGGCCUGAGAGGGCGACCGGCCACAUUGGGACUGAGAUACGGCCCAGACUCCUACGGGAGGCAGCAGUGGGGAAUAUUGCACAAUGGGGGGAACCCUGAUGCAGCGACGCCGCGUGCGGGAUGGAGGCCUUCGGGUCGUGAACCGCUUUUGAUUGGGAGCAAGCGUGAGUGAGUGUACCUUUCGAAUAAGCACCGGCUAACUACGUGCCAGCAGCCGCGGUAAUACGUAGGGUGCAAGCGUUGUCCGGAAUCAUUGGGCGUAAAGGGCUCGUAGGCGGUUCGUCGCGUCCGGUGUGAAAGCCCAUCGCUUAACGGUGGGUCUGCGCCGGGUACGGGCGGGCUUGAGUGCGGCAGGGGAGGCUGGAAUUCCCGGUGUAACGGUGGAAUGUGUAGAUAUCGGAAAAACACC
rnacentral:rRNA from 1 species